GUUUUACUGCCAUUUGUAUAGCACUGUUUUUCAAACUGCAAUAUAGGGAUCCUUUAGUAGAUUAUAAGAAAUUAAUUUAGUGGGCCAUGACUACUUUUUUUUCCUUUUCUCCCCUCAGUUGUUGGCAAUACUUAAAAAAAUUUGUAUCUAAAUAAAAAUGGUAGGCCAGGCACAGUGGCUCGCACCUGGAAUCCCAGCACUUUGGGAGGCCAAGGUGGGAGGAUUGCUUGAGUCCAGGAGGUGGAAACCAGCCUGGGCAACAGAGCAAGACCCUGCCUCUACUAAAAAAAUAAAAAAUUAAAAAAUUAAAAAUCAGCUGUGCGCAGUGGCAUGAGCCUAUAGUUCCAACUACUUGGGAGGCUGAGGCAGGAUGAUCACUUGAGCCCGGGAGACUGAGGCUACAAUGAGCUAUAAUCAUGCCACUGCCACUGCAUUCCAGCCUGG
rnacentral:lncRNA from 10 species